GGUGCUUGCAUCUUGAUUUAAUUUUGAACGAGUGGCGGACGGGUGAGUAACACGUGGGUAACCUGCCCUUAAGUGGGGGAUAACAUUUGGAAACAGAUGCUAAUACCGCAUAAAUCCAAGAACCGCAUGGUUCUUGGCUGAAAGAUGGCGUAAGCUAUCGCUUUUGGAUGGACCCGCGGCGUAUUAGCUAGUUGGUGAGGUAACGGCUCACCAAGGCAAUGAUACGUAGCCGAACUGAGAGGUUGAUCGGCCACAUUGGGACUGAGACACGGCCCAAACUCCUACGGGAGGCAGCAGUAGGGAAUCUUCCACAAUGGACGCAAGUCUGAUGGAGCAACGCCGCGUGAGUGAAGAAGGCUUUCGGGUCGUAAAACUCUGUUGUUGGAGAAGAAUGGUCGGCAGAGUAACUGUUGUCGGCGUGACGGUAUCCAACCAGAAAGCCACGGCUAACUACGUGCCAGCAGCCGCGGUAAUACGUAGGUGGCAAGCGUUAUCCGGAUUUAUUGGGCGUAAAGCGAGCGCAGGCGGUUUUUUAAGUCUGAUGUGAAAGCCCUCGGCUUAACCGAGGAAGUGCAUCGGAAACUGGGAAACUUGAGUGCAGAAGAGGACAGUGGAACUCCAUGUGUAGCGGUGAAAUGCGUAGAUAUAUGGAAGAACACCAGUGGCGAAGGCGGCUGUCUGGUCUGUAACUGACGCUGAGGCUCGAAAGCAUGGGUAGCGAACAGGAUUAGAUACCCUGGUAGUCCAUGCCGUAAACGAUGAAUGCUAGGUGUUGGAGGGUUUCCGCCCUUCAGUGCCGCAGCUAACGCAUUAAGCAUUCCGCCUGGGGAGUACGACCGCAAGGUUGAAACUCAAAGGAAUUGACGGGGGCCCGCACAAGCGGUGGAGCAUGUGGUUUAAUUCGAAGCAACGCGAAGAACCUUACCAGGUCUUGACAUCUUUUGAUCACCUGAGAGAUCAGGUUUCCCCUUCGGGGGCAAAAUGACAGGUGGUGCAUGGUUGUCGUCAGCUCGUGUCGUGAGAUGUUGGGUUAAGUCCCGCAACGAGCGCAACCCUUAUGACUAGUUGCCAGCAUUUAGUUGGGCACUCUAGUAAGACUGCCGGUGACAAACCGGAGGAAGGUGGGGAUGACGUCAAAUCAUCAUGCCCCUUAUGACCUGGGCUACACACGUGCUACAAUGGAUGGUACAACGAGUUGCGAGACCGCGAGGUCAAGCUAAUCUCUUAAAGCCAUUCUCAGUUCGGACUGUAGGCUGCAACUCGCCUACACGAAGUCGGAAUCGCUAGUAAUCGCGGAUCAGCACGCCGCGGUGAAUACGUUCCCGGGCCUUGUACACACCGCCCGUCACACCAUGAGAGUUUGUAACACCCGAAGCCGGUG
rnacentral:rRNA from 1 species